rnacentral:rRNA from 3 species
AAAUUGAAGAGUUUGAUCAUGGCUCAGAUUGAACGCUGGCGGCAGGCCUAACACAUGCAAGUCGAACGGUAACAGGAAGAAGCUUG